rnacentral:rRNA from 1 species
AUACGUAGGUGGCAAGCGUUGUCCGGAGUUUAUUGGGCGUAAAGCGAGCGCAGGCGGUUUUUUAAGUCUGAUGUGAAAGCCUUCGGCUUAACCGGAGAAGUGCAUCGGAAACUGGGAGACUUGAGUGCAGAAGAGGACAGUGGAACUCCAUGUGUAGCGGUGGAAUGCGUAGAUAUAUGGAAGAACACCAGUGGCGAAGGCGGCUGUCUAGUCUGUAACUGACGCUGAGGCUCGAAAGCAGUGGGUAGC